rnacentral:lncRNA from 1 species
ACUGAAACCUCCAACAAUCCUCUAUUCAUACCCUUUUUUCGGUUCCGAUAUUUUUUUUUGCUUUGCAGAAUCUAAAUAUUUUCUUUUUUUUUUUACGGGGUGGCUUUGGGCGCUGCUGGGUUCCUCCGUCAGGGGAGGACUGUGUGUGGUUUUUUUUUUGCUCUCUCUCUUUUUUUUGUGGGUUUUGGUUAUGGCCGAAUGCUUUUGCUGUUGGGGGCUGUGGUGGCAAUUUGGUAACAGAGGAGUCUGUGAUGGGGCAGCGCGG